rnacentral:rRNA from 1 species
AGUGAACGCUGGCGGUAGGCUUAACACAUGCAAGUCGAACGGCAGCACAGUAAGAGCUUGCUCUUACGGGUGGCGAAUGGCGGACGGGUGAGGAAUACAUCGUAACCUACUUUUUCGUGGGGGAUAACGUAGGGAAACUUACGCUAAUACCGCAUACGACCUACGGGUGAAAGCAGGGGAUCUUUGGACCUUGCGCGAUUGAACGAGCCGAUGUCGGAUUAGCUGGUUGGCGGGGCAACGGCCCACCCAGGCGACGAUCCGUAGCUGGUCUGAGAGGAGGGUCGGCCACACUGGAGCGGAGACACGGACCAGGCUCCUGCGGGACGGAGCAGUCGGGUAUGUGGGACAAUGGGCGCGAGCAUGAUCCAGCCAGACCGAGUGGGUGGAGGAGACCUUCGGGUUGUAAAGCCCUUUUGUUGGGAGAGAAAAGCAGCAGGUUAAUACCCCGCUGUUCUGACGGUACCCAAAGAAGAAGCACCGGCUAACUACGUG